rnacentral:rRNA from 1 species
GCUCUAUGUUUAUUUUUAGAGUAAGGUCUGCUCAAUGGUUUACUAAAUAGCCGCUUUUUGUGCUAAGGUAGCAUAAUAAUUUGUCUUUUAAUUGGUGACUGGUAUGAAUGGCUAGACGGAGAAUAACUGUCUUAAUUUUAAACACUUUAAAUUUAUUUUGAAGUAAAAAAGCUUCAAUAAUUUAAUGGGACGAGAAGACCCUGUAGAAUUUUAUUAAUUUUUAUCUUUUUUUAUUUCUUAUAUGAAAUAUAUUUUAAUUUGGUUGGGGUGAUUAAAUGUAAACUUAUUUUGAUAAAAUAACUUUAGGUUUAUUUUUGAUCCAAUAAUAUUGAUUAAUAGACUAAAUUACCUCAGGGAUAACAGCUUAAUAUUUUUAGAAAGUUCAAAUUGAUAAAAAUGUUUGUGACCUCGAUGUUGGAUUAAAAUUACUGUCAGGAGAAGAAAUUUGAUAAGUUAGUCUGUUCGACUAUUAAAAUUUUACA